UUAAUUGUAUUUUUUUUUGGGGUUGGAAGAAAAUACUUUGUACGACUUUUUUUUUUUUUGGAAAGAAAGUACAUGUAUGACUUAAUUUAGAACAAAGGGGCCUGGACCUACUUUGCUCCCACUAUUGCCCGUGGCCGUGGUCAACAUGCGUAUCACACCUUUUUCUUUUGGGGGUUACUAAUUCACGUCCGGUAUUUACGGGGUAACGCUUGUAUUUUAAAUUAAACAUCAAAACUCUUUUUUUUACUUUUACCUUUCUCUAUCCUUACCCUUUUCACCCACCUUUCUCUUUCACCCAAAUUCAACCACCGAAACCAGUUAACCAACCACCACCGCCACCGAUUACCCCCAAAUUCCACCACUAAGAUUAUUUUUUUUGUUUUUAAUCUUGGCGUCAACGCUACAAGGGAGGCGCAGAUUUCUAGAAAUCGCAAGCAGUCGGCACCGACGAGCAGGCGAUGACGAUGAUGACGAGGAGGAGCCUGAUGAUAUUGUUCAUACGUAUAGGGGUGCCGGUGGGAGAUUUGUUGGUACUCAAGAGACUGGUCGUAGUCGGACUCCGGUACAGGACAGCUGGUUAGUGACUACGCCGAUGGCCGGCGGUCUAGAGGAUGGAAGCGUCAUUCCUAGCUAUGGUGGUCAUGUUGCAGCUGCGAUUUGGGGUGGUGUGGAGCGAGGUGUUUUGAGAUGUAUGAGUAGGAGAAAGAUGUGCACUGCAUUGGAUCAGUUGCGACAGUCGUUAUUACCAGAGACAUUAGCCCCGAUAGAUCAGAGCGGGUUAUCACAUCUUCCUGGCAUUAUGUAUCAGCACCUUGACUGGCCUUUGAUUUUAGCGUUCGUGGAGAGAUGGCAGCCAGAUACUAACAGUUUUCAUUUGUCGUUGGGUGAGAUGACGAUCAUGUCACAUGACGUGUAUCAUAUCCUUGGGAUCUCUGUAGAUGGUACUAUGGUUUCUACUGUUAUGGACCCCCUACAAUUACGACAAUAUUGCUCAUUCAUGAUGGAUUUUCCUAUUAAGGAGUUACGUAAACCCACUUACGCGCCUAGUGGCGCGCUUUCUUCGAGGGUCCUCGAGACGACCUUCAAUGUUGAGUGAGAGGCCCCUUGAGAUUUCUGUGGUGGCAUUUAUGUGGAUUUUACUGGGUUCAUCACUCUUUGUGGACAAGAGUGGUAACAGACUUCAUCCCUCCCUCAUCCAUGAGCUUCAGCCUGUCGAUGGUACAUUUGUCACUAGUUCUUACUCAUGGGGCUCUGCCACUUUAGCUUUUUUGUAUAGUUAGUUGGGGCAAGCCUCGCGGGCAGAUUGUGAUUCCAUCUCUGGUGUUCUCACGCUUCUUCAAGCGUGGAUUUAUGAGUAUUUUCCAUGCUUUCGCCCUCAGCAGGGCACUUUGACCAGGGACCCUGGACGUGCGCGUGCAUUGCUGUGGGAUGUUGGUUUGCCACCGAAGACCUGAGAUCGGCUUUUUGCUUUUCGUGCUCGACUUGACGUGUUGACUGACAUUGAGGUUAACUAGCUGCCUUACGGACCUGACCCAGCUAAUGUUGUUCCUAGGACUUUGUUCUCGGGAUUUAUACGGUACCGCAACAUCAUCGAGCCGUACAUGCCCGAUCGAGUAGUCAGACAGCUUGGGUUCGUACAGGGUAUACCUAGGUACUCCAGGUACUCCAUUAGGCAUUAGGCCUGAGAAGGCCAAGAGACCGAAAAAGGUCAAGAUGUAUAGUUCCCGGCUGAGACGUUCGUACACAUGUGGGAGAGCUUUAUUCCAUUCGCUGCGUAUUGUCUACCAGUGGCUCGCUACACUAGACUCAGUCGCGGCAGUCCUACAUACACAGACGAUUACAUUCCAUGGUUGGUGAGAUACUCUCACCCUCGUGUAUCACCCCCUGACCUCACGUCAGCGGACUCCCCAAGAGGACCAACACUGAUUAUUGGGUUGGUCGCUUCGUUGAGUUCACACAGCGUGCACUUGCUGAGUCGCAUGGGCCCAUGUCCCGUGAAACUAAGGCCGUGGCUGCACAGGCCCUUCGUGAUUGGGAUGCUAUGCGAGGGUUAUGAUUUGUGUUUAGCUAGACACCUUUAUUCUUAGUUGAAUGCUUUAAUUGUUGGUUGGACACUUUUAUUAUUUUGUUUUGGUUAUUGUAAUAGGACACUUUUAUUAUUCGUAUUAAAUUAUUGCUAUUGUUGAAAUAAUAGAUGUGAACUACCCUCCCUCAAAAAUGUUAUGGCAUGUUGUUGCUGCUGUUGUUGUUGCUGGGGCUGUGAUAAUAUGUGUAGUUGUAGCUUGGUGUGCAGGCUGGUUUUCUCUAGUUCAGGCUGCUGUUUGGUGCGGGGUCAGGCUGGGUUGCUGUCUGUCUUGCUGAGGGUUGUUGGUUGGUGUUACUGAAAGGCAUCACCAAUUCUCAUAAUGUUGAAUUUCCUGCUAAGUUACUGAAAGGCGUUCUAGAGUUUCUGCCAUCGGUGAUUACUGCUGCACUGAAAGAAACAACUCAGAAUUCUGAGGAAACACUAUCCAGUGCCUCUUUAGAACCAGGCAGCCAUGGCAACAUGUUGCACAUUUCACUUGUUGGGGAUGUUCUGUUUCUGCCCAGCCUGCCAGCUAAGUGCAGGUACUGCCACCGUCGUUCUGAUGCUGGCUUUUGCUGUUGGCUGCUGCUGCUGUGGCUUGUUGGUUCUUUUGCUCCCUGAUCUGCUGCUGGUCUUUGUUGCUGGUGCAUGCUGUUUUUGGCGAGUGAUAAUUGUAGUAGUUGUUUUUGUUUUUUGGAUUGUUGCUACAUAUUUACUUUGCUCCUUCCUUUUGGUAGCUUGUUUUUGUCCUGUUCCUUUCGUUCUGGGUAAUUAUUGCAAUUGUUACUUGUGUUUUUUUAUGGCAUUUUUUCAAAUAAUAAUAAUA